rnacentral:tmRNA from 1 species
GGGGGUGUAAAGGUUUCGACGGGGGUGUAGAAACAAGAUAAGCGAGCCGCAGUUUGCCAAGUCUGCGUUAAAAAUGGCACGUUAAAUAUAAACGCUAAAAAUAACAAUAAUUACGCAUUUGCAGCAUAGCUGCCUGCCGCAUAAAGCGGCCGCGUCGUCGGCUCUGAUUUAUCUGUAGGUCAGAAUCCCGGCGUCAAUUAUACAGGAAAACUCUGUGCCUGCUCCCGGAAGCACAGGGGA